CCUACGGGCGGCAGCAGUGAGGAAUAUUGGUCAAUGGGCGGAAGCCUGAACCAGCCAAGUCGCGUGCGGGAAGAAGGUACUGAGUAUUGUAAACUUCUUUUGCCAGGGGACAAAGGCGGCCACGGGUGGCCGUAAGAGGGUACCUGGAGAAAAAGCAUCGGCUAACUCCGUGCCAGCAGCCGCGGUAAUACGGAGGAUGCGAGCGUUAUCCGGUUUUAUUGGGUUUAAAGGGUGCGCAGGCGGCGUGUAAAGUCAGCGGUAAAAUGUCGGGGCUAAACCCCGGAUGGCCGUUGAAACUGGUUGGCUCGAGUUGGAGAGAGGUAUGCGGAAUUCGUGGUGUAGCGGUGAAAUGCAUAGAGAUCACGAAGAACCCCGAUUGCGAAGGCAGCAUACCGGCUCCAUACUGACGCUGAGGCACGAAAGCGUGGGGAGCGAACAGGAUUAGAUACCCCGGUAGUC
rnacentral:rRNA from 1 species